CUGGCUCAGGACGAACGCUGGCGGCGUGCUUAACACAUGCAAGUCGAACGAUGAAGCCCAGCUUGCUGGGUGGAUUAGUGGCGAACGGGUGAGUAACACGUGGGUGAUCUGCCCUGCACUCUGGGAUAAGCCUGGGAAACUGGGUCUAAUACCGGAUAUGACCUCUUGCUGCAUGGCGAGGGGUGGAAAGUUUUUCGGUGCAGGAUGAGCCCGCGGCCUAUCAGCUUGUUGGUGGGGUAAUGGCCUACCAAGGCGACG
rnacentral:rRNA from 1 species